rnacentral:rRNA from 1 species
GAUGAACGCUGGCGGCGUGCCUAAUACAUGCAAGUCGAGCGAACAGACGAGGAGCUUGCUCCUCUGACGUUAGCGGCGGACGGGUUAGUAACACGUGGAUAACCUACCUAUAAGACUGGGAUAACUUCGGGAAACCGGAGCUAAUACCGGAUAAUAUAUUGAACCGCAUGGUUCAAUAGUGAAAGACGGUUUUGCUGUCACUUAUAGAUGGAUCCGCGCCGCAUUAGCUAGUUGGUAAGGUAACGGCUUACCAAGGCAACGAUGCGUAGCCGACCUGAGAGGGUGAUCGGACACACUGGAACUGAGAAACGGUCCAGACUCUUACGGGAGGCAGCAGUAGGGAAUCUUCCGCAAUGGGCGAAAGCCUGACGGAGCAACGACGCGUGAGUGAUGAAGGUCUUCGGAUCGUAAAACUCUGUUAUUAGGGAAGAACAAAUGUGUAAGUAACUAUGCACGUCUUGACGGUACCUAAUCAGAAAGCCACGGCUAACUACGUG